rnacentral:misc_RNA from 1 species
UUUCCGUAGGUGAACCUGCGGAAGGAUCAUUACUGAGUUAGGGUCUUUAUGGCCCGACCUCCAACCCUUUGUUUAAUCUACCAUGUUGCUUUGGCAGGCCCGCUUAGAAAUGGGCCGCCGGAGACCUUUGAGUCUCUGGUCAGUGCCUGCCAGUAGCCUUUCCAAAUUCAUUUAUAACCGUGUCUGAAUAUACAAAGAAAAAUUAAAAUAAAACUUUCAACAACGGAUCUCUUGGUUCUG